rnacentral:rRNA from 1 species
UACGUAGGUGGCAAGCGUUAUCCGGAAUUAUUGGGCGUAAAGCGCGCGUAGGCGGUUUUUUAAGUCUGAUGUGAAAGCCCACGGCUCAACCGUGGAGGGUCAUUGGAAACUGGGAAACUUGAGUACAGAAGAGGAAAGUGGAAUUCCAUGUGUAGCGGUGGAAUGCGUAGAUAUAUGGAGGAACACCAGUGGCGAAGGCGACUUUCUGGUCUGUUACUGACACUGAGGCUCGAAAGCGUGGGGAGCAAACAGG